rnacentral:rRNA from 1 species
ACGUAGGUGGCGAGUGUUAUUCGGAUUUACUGGGCGUAAAGGGUUCGUAGGGGGCGCGCUAAGUCCUGGGUGAAAGCCUGCGGCUCAACCGCAGAACGGCCCAAGAUACUGGCGUGCUAGAGGGCCGGAGAGGAGAGUGGAAUACCUGGUGUAGCGGUGGAAUGCGUAGAUAUCAGGUGGAACACCGAUGGCGAAGGCAGCUCUCUGGACGGUACCUGACCCUGAGGAACGAAAGUUGGGGUAGCAAACAG